rnacentral:lncRNA from 1 species
UUAAAACCUGCACAAAAAGUUGGUAUCAGAGCAAACAAUAUUGACAGUUUAUAUUUCAGGGGUAUCUUUGUCUGAGGAAAUCAAUCAUUCUACAGACAUGACCUCAUUCUGAUCUCUCAGGUAGGAAAAGGACAGUCCUGCCUUCCUCUUAAGAUCCACAAAGGACUCAUGGUGACGACCAGCUGUAAGAUCCACGAGAGUAGAGACAAUUGCUGGCCGUGCUUAUCACUGUGGACCCAAAGCCUGAAAUAGCAUCUGGUUCAUUAAACACAUGAUGAAUAUAUGUUGAAUAACUAAAUGAAUGAAAACACCGUUCUUCAAGCUCCCACUAACGCCUUACCACUCUCUACCAUGUCAACUUAUUUUAUUAUAACAAUUCCUCAUCAUUAAACCAUAUGGUCCUGGAA